rnacentral:rRNA from 1 species
UACGUAGGGUGCAAGCGUUGUCCGGAAUUACUGGGCUUAAAGAGUUCGUAGGCGGCAUGGAAAGUAGGGUGUGAAAUCCCUCGGCUCAACCGAUGGAAUUGCGCUCUAAACUGCCGUGCUAGAGGAAGCUAGAGGUGAGCGGAACUGAUGGUGGAGCGGUGAAAUGCGUUGAUAUCAUCAGGAACACCGGAGGCGAAGGCGGCUCACUGGGGCUUUUCUGACGCUGAGGAACGGAAAGCCAGGGUAGCGAACGGG